UGCAGUCGAGCGGGGAGAUGUAGCUUGCUACAUUUCCUAGCGGCGGACGGGUGAGUAAUGCUUAGGAAUCUGCCUAUUAGUGGGGGACAACAUUCCGAAAGGAAUGCUAAUACCGCAUACGCCCUACGGGGGAAAGCAGGGGAUCUUCGGACCUUGCGCUAAUAGAUGAGCCUAAGUCAGAUUAGCUAGUUGGUGGGGUAAAGGCCUACCAAGGCGACGAUCUGUAGCGGGUCUGAGAGGAUGAUCCGCCACACUGGGACUGAGACACGGCCCAGACUCCUACGGGAGGCAGCAGUGGGGAAUAUUGGACAAUGGGCGAAAGCCUGAUCCAGCCAUGCCGCGUGUGUGAAGAAGGCCUUUUGGUUGUAAAGCACUUUAAGCGAGGAGGAGGCUACUUGGAUUAAUACUCUAGGAUAGUGGACGUUACUCGCAGAAUAAGCACCGGCUAACUCUGUGCCAGCAGCCGCGGUAAUACAGAGGGUGCGAGCGUUAAUCGGAUUUACUGGGCGUAAAGCGUGCGUAGGCGGCUUCUUAAGUCGGAUGUGAAAUCCCUGAGCUUAACUUAGGAAUUGCAUUCGAUACUGGGAAGCUAGAGUAUGGGAGAGGAUGGUAGAAUUCCAGGUGUAGCGGUGAAAUGCGUAGAGAUCUGGAGGAAUACCGAUGGCGAAGGCAGCCAUCUGGCCUAAUACUGACGCUGAGGUACGAAAGCAUGGGGAGCAAACAGGAUUAGAUACCCUGGUAGUCCAUGCCGUAAACGAUGUCUACUAGCCGUUGGGGCCUUUGAGGCUUUAGUGNCGCAGCUAACGCGAUAAGUAGACCGCCUGGGGAGUACGGUCGCAAGACUAAAACUCAAAUGAAUUGACGGGGGCC
rnacentral:rRNA from 1 species